GGGUUCAGAACGUCGUGAGACAGUUAGGUCCCUAACCUUCGUGGGCGUAGGAUAUUUGCGAGGCGCUGCCCCUAGUACGAGAGGACCGGGGUGGACGUACCGAUGGUGCAUCUGUUGUCACGCCAGUGGCACGGCAGAGUAGCUAUGUACGGAGCGGAUAAACGCUGAAAGCAUCUAAGCGUGAAACCCACCUCAAGAUAAGAUAUCCCAGACCGAAAGGAAGUAAGGCACCUGAAAGACGAUCAGGUAGAUAGGCCAAAGGUGUAAGCAUGGCAACAUGUUCAGCUGAUUGGUACUAAUAAGCCGAGGGCUUGAUCAC
rnacentral:rRNA from 1 species